AAUAGCUAUUUCUUCGUCUUAUCGAGCCGCUGAGUCCACAUUUUUUUCGUGAUAUUUACUUAUCAUUCACUGAUGACGUAUGACCGAAUGAGAAGAACCACCAUCUUGAUUUUCCUAAUGUUUUAUUUCAGAGCUCUCCUUCCUCUUGGGCCUUGGGCACUUGUCCCUGCUUCUUGCCUAGAUACAGUUCUGAGCAAAAUAAUUACUUUCUAUAUCUUAUAUAAAAAAAACUUUAGCUUAUUAACUUUUUUCCUAAAUUUCUUAAAAAAUUUAUCUAUACAAAAAAAACAUCUAAAAACAAGAUUCUGUGUCAUUUCACACAUAUAAAAACUUAAUUUAUAAAUAAAAUGUUAAAUUUAUUCAAUCCAAA